rnacentral:rRNA from 1 species
GAAACACGGACCAAGGAGUCUAGCAUGUACGCGAGUCAUUGGGACAUAACUAAACCUAAAGGCGCAAUGAAAGUAAAGGUCCGCCUUGCGCGGGCCGAGGGAAGAUGGGCGGUCCUCGCGGCCGCCUCGCACUCCCGGGGCGUCUCGUUCUCAUUGCGAGAAGAGGCGCACCAAGAGCGUACACGCUGGGACCCGAAAGAUGGUGAACUAUGCCUGGUCAGGACGAAGUCAGGGGAAACCCUGAUGGAGGUCCGUAGCGAUUCUGACGUGCAAAUCGAUCGUCGGAACUGGGUAUAGGGGCGAAAGACUAAUCGAACCAUCUAGUAGCUGGUUCCCUCCGAAGUUUCCCUCAGGAUAGCUGGCGUUCGUUGCGUACGAGUCUCAUCCGGUAAAGCGAAUGAUUAGAGGCAUUGGGGUCGAAACGGUCUCAACCUAUUCUCAAACUUUAAAUGGGUGAGAUCUCCGGCUUGCUCGAACUAUUGAAGCCGCGAGACACGGAUCAGAGUGCCAAGUGGGCCAUUUUUGGUAAGCAGAACUGGCGCUGUGGGAUGAACCAAACGCCGAGUUAAAGCGCCUAAAUCGACGCUUAUGGGAUACCAUGAAAGGCGUUGGUAACUUAAGACAGCAGGACGGUGGCCAUGGAAGUCGGAAUCCG